AUGGCGGUGCCGCUUCUGACGAGGAAGAUCGUGAAGAAGAGGGUCAAGCACUUCAAGAGGGCCCAUAGCGACCGCUACAUCGGCCUCAAGACCAGCUGGCGCAGGCCAAAGGGUAUUGAUUCCCGUGUGAAGAGAAAGUUCAAGGGAUGUACUUUGGUGCCCAACAUUGGCUAUGGUUCUGACAAGAAGACCAGGCAUUACCUGCCAAACAAGUUCAAGAAGUUUGUUGUCCACAAUGUCUCCGAGCUGGAGCUGCUUAUGAUGCACAACAGGACAUACUGUGCUGAGAUCGCCCACAACGUCUCUACCAAGAAGCGGAAGGACAUUGUGGAGCGUGCUGCGCAGCUGGAUAUUGUUGUCACAAACAAGCUUGCUAGGCUUCGCAGCCAGGAGGACGAGUGA
rnacentral:rRNA from 1 species